rnacentral:lncRNA from 10 species
GCCUCUCCAGCCACGCAGAACGAUGGUGUCAGAAUUGGAACAUGAAGUAGAACUUCCAGUAACCCCUAGGAGCAUCAAGUGACCCAGAGAGGUAACCCCCUCCACCAGGGUCCAUUGCAUCCAUUGCUCUCUCACAGCAACUGAGGCUCAUGGGACUGGAGUGGAGUCGGUAGGAAGGAACAGUCUUUGAAGUUAGAUGCGCCAGGUUGUAACCCCACUUCCACCAAUUGUGGUAACUUUGUGAGACAAGCCUCAAAUUUUACCACUGUACCAAGAAAUGAAAGCCAGAAUGUGGAAUUGGAGCUGGUAAUGACGACGUCAGGACAGGUUCAAAGGAAGCCCAUCACUUGAGUAAAAAUUUAUAGCCCUGCUUGUGCUGUGCUGUGCUGUGCUGUGAGUUUCAGUUCCGGGCCAGCAAAAGAUUUAUCAAAGGAAAGCAACAAGGUGUGUGGAAAUAGAAGAUCCCUGCUCAGGAACCCACUGUGGGCCAAUCAACAGCUUCCCAAAACGAGUCAGGGAGUUCCAGAAGCUCCCAUUCCGGUGCCAGCUGAGAAUCCAUUUGGAUAAUAACGGAGUAAAAACUCUGGUUUGGAGAAAGUUUCUGUAAUGUUUUUCUUUUUCCUUUUUGGUGGAAGGGAGAAUAAAGGAGGAUAUUGCCUGGUAAGCAUGCAAAGAAAAAAAGUCACGCCAAUUUCACUAGAAUUGCCCAGAACCUCAACUCUGGUGAACUGCAGGUGACAACACUUCACACUGUUUACAUGAUUGGGGCUUCCCUGGAAACUGCGCUGACCCUGAGAUGAUUGAACAUUUAGAGUAAAACCCUUGAUGUAGUUCAUAAAAUUGGAUUCAAAUGAAAAGUUUAAUGUGGAGUCAUUCAAAAAUAACACUAAGAGCUCUUCCCUGAAUUCAAAAGAAAAAGGAAGGAAAACAUGUUAGUCUUAGCAGGAGCCAAGGCUGCAGGUGGGGGAAGAUGGAGAGGACAGUGUUUGGGUUUUAUUAUGUUUACUUUUCUCUUACGGAAGAAUAGAAGAUGGAUGACUUGAUGCCUGAGGUAAUUCAGUAUGUUUCACCAAUUUGGAGAUGGUCAUUUGUCCAUACUUAAGUCUCAGUAAUUAUGUUGAAAUAUUAUAAUUUCUGUAAGCUGGGAAGGUUACAAUGUGGUGGUUGUCAUUGCCCGGGCAUGCACAAACUUGGUCGUGAUUCCUGGUGGCAUGAUUAGACAGACAACUGCAACCCCUUGACACUUAAUUCCAGAAAUCAUUUAAGAAUCACUUGAAAAAGGAAUAUAUUAUUGUUCUCCUUCCAAUAACCAAGUGUCUUCUGAAAACCUUUCAUUGUCACUUUCUGGUAAUUGAACAAUGAGAACACAUGGACACAGGAAGGGGAACAUCACACACUGGGAACUGUUGUGGGGUGGGGGGAGGGGGGAGGGAUAGCAUUGGGAGAUAUACCUAAUGCUAAAUGACGAGUUAAUGGGUGCAGCACACCAACAUGGCACAUGUAUGCAUAUGUAACAACCCUGCACAUUGUGCACAUGUACCCUAAAACUUAAAAUAUAAUAAUAAUAAAAUUUAAAAAAA